AUAGAAUCUGAUGCCAAAAUAUUUCCCUGAAUUUCUGCCAUUAAUUUGUUUCUAGUAUUUGACUCCGAAGAUAAUUUAAAACGAAGCCAGGAGGUUUCAUAGCUUUUUAUUCCAAAAAGCGACACUUUAUUGAUAGCAAUCAUUUUCAAAAUUAAUGGUUUUCCAAUCGGGUAAGGUGGCUCACGCCUGUAAUCCCAACACUUUGGGAGGAAGAGGUGAGCAGAUUGCCUGACCGGAAGGCGGAGGUUGCAGUGAGCCCAGAUUGCACCACUGCACUCCAGCCUGGGCAACAGAGCAAGACUACAUCUCAAAAAAAAAAAAAAAAGAUGGUUAUUUCAAGGUAGGAUUAUGGGUGAUUAUUUUUCUAUUUCCUGUUGUUUAUAUCUGCACUUUCUCCAACAACAUGCGACUUAUGUAUUUUUAAGUUAUAAAGAAAGUAAAACGGUUCAAGAAGCCAAUUUAUUUCAUUAUAUGCAUGUGUUUGUUGUGGUUUGUAUGUGAACCAACUGACCAUAAGUGACCAGCAAACUGCGGUGGUAAAAUGUACACACUCAGCUUCUAGUCUCACCUCUA
rnacentral:lncRNA from 10 species